rnacentral:lncRNA from 1 species
CUAAACAGUGUUAGCAGGUACUGUCAGCAGGCCUCAGGCAGAAGCAGACAAGAAGGGUAAGAAGUAAAGGAGAGGGAGGAAAGGAGUUGAAAGAAUAAGAGAAUGAGGUGAAAGCUGAAGUCCCCACAGAGGGAAAUGCCACAAGACUAGGCCGUGCAACAUUUCCGCAGUGCUCCUCGCUACAAAGACAUUCCCCUAAGGCUGGUGGGCAACUCAACACUCAGCUCAGUACGUGGUCAGCUCGUCCUCCAUAGGAGCCUUAUGCCUUGGUGAGGAGAUCUCUGAAGAAAUUGCUGAUGAAAGUCCAACAGGCUCUUCCAGUUUGUCUGGUCGGUCACAUUUGCUGAAACCUGGAGGAAUUGUUAGUGGAAGCUCAACAGGCCUGACUCAGUCUGACUGUCCAUUCUUCUGGAAGCUGCAGAGAAAAGAAACCUGGAAACCUUAUAUGCUGACAAAAAGGGACACAAUUGGAUAUGAUGGUUAUUUUACCAAGGUUUUGAAAUGUCGUGCUUUCAAAUAUAAACAGACUGCUUUAAGGAAUCGAAGUUGACUUAUAGAGCCAAUAAAAGCCCUGCAGGAAAGCUGGCCUCAUACUUUGUCUACACAGUCUCUGUACAGGUUUCCUGACCUGUGGUUUUCAUUACUGCCACCUCCACCUCCCACAUGGUGAUAUUCUUGAUGUAGCUAUUGGCAUAGACCAGAAUCUGGCGAAUUGGUGGUGUUCGGUACUAAAUAUCUGUUGAUCAACGGAAUGAACA